ACUUAAAAAAUAAAUCUUGUUACUGAGUGUCAUAGUCGCUACAUAGGAUUCAUAAACUGCAACUUUUAUUUAUCUUUUUCUAAGCACAUUAGCUUUAAACGGAUCCGUCUGCCGCCUUGAGUAAAUCAGCCAAAGAUUUAUAAAGCCAAAUUAUUUGGCCUUAAUCAAUGUAUCGAGUCAAGUCUAGAUGUAGCCUGUUCAGUAACGAAUUUGACCCCAUUUUUCCAAGAGAAAAAAACGGCCGGCAUUUACAGAGUACAACAUAUGAGGUACC